rnacentral:lncRNA from 1 species
AGCUCCAAGGCCAUAUACAAGAUCUCAAGCUAAAGAGUUGCAAACUAAGGUUGCUAGACUUCAAUGGCAAAUAAAGAAGCUUUCAAUUGUAGAGGAAGAGCUCAAGACCAAAGGAAAUAAAUUGUCCAAAUUUUACAAUUAUAUGGUGGUCCAAAUUGAAGUCCAAGAGGAGGAAGAUUGGGUCACCAAAUUAGCCCUUGAAAUCCAUCAAAAAGGGCUCAAAAUAAGUUUAAAAGAGGUCCAAAAGGGGGUGUUUCAAAAGGAGCCCAAUUGGAGUCCAAACCAAUGGCCCAAACUAGUUGUUUUAAGGCCCAAAUUUGCCCCAAAGGGUCUUGGCCGCCCUCACCUAAUUUUAAUGACUUUUCUUACUCUUUAGCAACCACCCUACCUAAUUGUAAUGACUUUGUAUGCCUUAGCAACCACCCUACCUAAUUUUAAGGACUUUUAUGACUUAGUACUCCUAUAAAUAGGGAGUUCUUCUCAUUCAUAAGAUACAACAUUUAUUGAUUAAGUAUAUCAUACUUUGAG